AUACUCUGCUCCUUCUUACUUCUAUUCUACAAGUACUCUGCUCACAAACACACACACACUUACACAUACAUUUACAGAUACACACACUCACAGACAAACACUCACACGUACACUUACAGACACACACACACACACUCACAUAGAAACACAUACACACAAACAUACAGACAGACACACAUGCACUAACAGACACACAUAUACACACACACAUACUUACAGACACAAACACACAUAUACUUACAGACACACAGACACACACACAUAUACUUACAGACACACAAAAAUAUACUUACAGACACACACAUACUUACAGACAGAC